rnacentral:rRNA from 2 species
UCUUCGAUUCAGCGGCGGACGGGUGAGUAAUACCUAGGAAUCUGCCUGGUAGUGGGGGACAACGUUUCGAAAGGAACGCUAAUACCGCAUACGUCCUACGGGAGAAAGCAGGGGACCUUCGGGCCUUGCGCUAUCAGAUGAGCCUAGGUCGGAUUAGCUAGUUGGUGAGGUAAUGGCUCACCAAGGCUACGAUCCGUAACUGGUCUGAGAGGAUGAUCAGUCACACUGGAACUGAGACACGGUCCAAACUUCCUACGGGGAGGCAGCAGGGGGGAAAUUUUUGGACAAUGGGCAAAAGCCUGAUCCACCCAUGCCGCGUGGUGUGAAGAAGGUCUUCGGAUUGUAAAGCACUUUAAGUUGGGAGGGAAGGGCAGUAAGCAAAUACCUUGCUGUUUUGACGUUCCCGACAGAAUAAGCCCCGGCUAAC